ACUUAAACGUGGACGUACUUGCU
rnacentral:miRNA from 1 species